rnacentral:rRNA from 1 species
CACGUAGGGCGCGAGCGUUGUCCGGAAUUAUUGGGCGUAAAGAGCUCGUAGGCGGCCUGUUGCGUCCGCUGUGAAAGCCCGGGGCUUAACCCCGGGUCUGCAGUGGAUACGGGCAGGCUAGAGGUAGGUAGGGGAGAAUGGAAUUCCCGGUGUAGCGGUGAAAUGCGCAGAUAUCGGGAGGAACACCGGUGGCGAAGGCGGUUCUCUGGGCCUUACCUGACGCUGAGGGGCGAAAGCGUGGGGAGCGAACAGG